UGCCCCAGUAACGGCGAGUGAAGCGGCAACAGCUCAAAUUUGAAAUCUGGCUCUCGGGCCCGAGUUGUAAUUUGUAGAGGAUGCUUUUGGUGAGGUGCCUUCCGAGUUCCCUGGAACGGGACGCCAUAGAGGGUGAGAGCCCCGUCUGGUUGGACACCGAUCCUCUGUAAAGCUCCUUCGACGAGUCGAGUAGUUUGGGAAUGCUGCUCUAAAUGGGAGGUAUAUGUCUUCUAAAGCUAAAUACCGGCCAGAGACCGAUAGCGCACAAGUAGAGUGAUCGAAAGAUGAAAAGAACUUUGAAAAGAGAGUUAAACAGUACGUGAAAUUGUUGAAAGGGAAGCGCUUGUGACCAGACUUGGGCUUGGUUGAUCAUCCGGGGUUCUCCCCGGUGCACUCUUCCGGCUCAGGCCAGCAUCAGUUCGCCCUGGGGGAUAAAGGCUUCGGGAAUGUGGCUCUCUCCGGGGAGUGUUAUAGCCCGCUGCGUAAUACCCUGUGGCGGACUGAGGUUCGCGCAUUCGCAAGGAUGCUGGCGUAAUGGUCAUCAGUGACCCGUCUUGAAACACGGACCAAGGAGUCGUCUUCGUAUGCGAGUGUUCGGGUGUCAAACCCCUACGCGAAAUGAAAGUGAACGCAGGUGAGAGCUUCGGCGCAUCAUCGACCGAUCCUGAUGUUAUCGGAUGGAUUUGAGUAAGAGCAUACGGGGCCGGACCCGAAAGAAGGUGAACUAUGCCUGUGUAGGGUGAAGCCAGAGGAAACUCUGGUGGAGGCUCGCAGCGGUUCUGACGUGCAAAUCGAUCGUCAAACAUGGGCA
rnacentral:rRNA from 1 species